rnacentral:rRNA from 1 species
CACGGGGGGAGCAAGCGUUGUUCGGAAUCACUGGGCGUAAAGGGCGUGUAGGCGGUCAAGUAAGUGGGAUGUGAAACCCUCGGCUCACCCGAGGACCUGCAUCCCAAACUGCUUGGCUUGAGUAUGGGAGAGGAUGAGGGAAUUCCUGGUGUAGCGGUGAAAUGCUGUUGAUAUCAGGAGGAACACCCAUGGCGAAGGCGAGCAAACUCGAUCUGUAACUGA